UUAGAGUUAGGGUUAGGGUUGGAGCUAGGGUUAGGGUUAGGGUUAGGGUUGGAGCUAGGGUUAGGGUUAGGGUUAGGGUUGGAGCUAGGGUUAGGGUUAGGGUUAGGGUUGGAGCUAGGGUUAGGGUUAGGGUUGGAGCUAGGGCUAGGGUUAGGGUCAGGGUUGGAGCUAGGGUUAGGGUUAGGGUUGGAGCUAGGGUUAGGGUUAGGGUUGGAGCUAGGGUUAGGGUUAGGGUUAGGGUUGGAGCUAGAGUUAGGGUUGCAGCUAGGGUCAGGGUUAGGGUUAGGGUUGGAGAUAGGGUUAGGGUUAGGGUUAGGGUUGGAGCUAGGGUUAGGGUUAGGGUUAGGGUUGGAGCUAGGGUUACGGUUAGGGUUAGAGUUAGGGUUGGAGCUAGGGUUAGGGUUGGAGCUAGGGUUAGAGUUAGGGUUGGAGCUAGGGUUAGGGUUAGGGUUAGGGUUGGAGCAAGGGUCAGGGUUAGGGAUGGAGCUAGGGUUAGGGUUAGGGUUAGGGUUGGAGCUACGGUUAGGGUUAGGGUUAGGGUUGGAGCUAGGUUUAGGGUUAGGGUUGGAGCUAGGGUUAGAGCUAGGGUUAGGGUUAGGGUUGGAGCUAGGGUUAGGGUAAGGGUUAGGGUUGGAGCUAGG